CCUACUAAAAAAAUCGAACCAGAUCGGUUCGAUGUGUGCCUGAAAAAUGUUGUGCGUUUGUGCGACGUAUCGUGGUGCAAGCGGACUAACGACGAAAACCACUGACGACACGAGUUUUGCAGUCAUAAUGCAACGCGUACGGCACAAGACGAUUAUAAACUUAUGGCUGUUACACUGUUAUAAAUAAAAACACAUAUAUGGCUGUCAACUGUCAAGUCGUCAUCAAUUAAAUACAUAUUCAGAUAUUCUAAUAAGAGGAGAUAUCCGAUAACAGUCAACAUCCGAAGAAAAUAUUAAUACUGUUUUCCCUAAAGAAAUGUGAAUGUUAUUCUAUACACUACAAAUCUUCAAUCGUAUACUAUUGCUAUGAUCGUAUAAAAGAGAAUCAAAAUAUAGUACUAUAAUAUUACGUA